rnacentral:rRNA from 1 species
UACGUAGGGUGCAAGCGUUGUCCGGAUUUAUUGGGCGUAAAGAGCUCGUAGGCGGUCUGUCGCGCGGAUGUGAAACCAGGGCUCAACCUGGGCCUGCAUUCGAUACGGGCAGACUAGAGCGUGGCAGGGGAGACUGGAAUUCCUGGUGUAGCGGUGAAAUGACGCAGAUAUCAGGAGGAACACCGGUGGUGUAAACGGCUUU